UACGGAGGGUGCAAGCGUUAUCCGGAUUUACUGGGUUUAAAGGGUGCGUAGGCGGACAGGUAAGUCAGUGGUGAAAUCUCUGGGCUUAACCCAGAAACUGCCGUUGAUACUAUUUGUCUUGAAUAUCCUGGAGGUAGGCGGAAUAUGUCAUGUAGCGGUGAAAUGCUUAGAUAUGACAUAGAACACCGAUAGCGAAGGCAGCUUACUACAGGAUGAUUGACGCUGAGGCACGAAAGCGUGGGGAGCAAACAGGA
rnacentral:rRNA from 1 species